CCUUUGACGUUAGCGGCGGACGGGUGAGUAACACGUGGGUAACCUACCUAUAAGACUGGGAUAACUUCGGGAAACCGGAGCUAAUACCGGAUAAUAUUUCGAACCGCAUGGUUCGAUAGUGAAAGAUGGUUUUGCUAUCACUUAUAGAUGGACCCGCGCCGUAUUAGCUAGUUGGUAAGGUAACGGCUUACCAAGGCGACGAUACGUAGCCGACCUGAGAGGGUGAUCGGCCACACUGGAACUGAGACACGGUCCAUACUCCUACGGGAGGCAGCAGGC
rnacentral:rRNA from 1 species